ensembl:snRNA U2 U2 spliceosomal RNA
AUCGCUUCUCGGCCUUUUGGCUAAGAUCAAGUGUAGUGUCCUAGGGAAAUGAUGAGAUAUAUGUUUCCAAAAAAUUGUUGAUGGAAACAUUAU